AAGGAUUCACAAGCGCCAGAGCUUGAUGCUGCGCGGGAACGGCCGGAUGCCCGGAUAGAAGGAUUACUGCCAGAUACCUGUAUGAUUACAGUCGGCAGCAAGAACCUAUCAGGCAGCGUGCCAUCGGCAGAGCAAGCUGACGAGGUGGGGGUGUUCGAAAUGUUCGGCGGGGACCUCCCGGCAGUAUGCACCAGCCGUAAGCCGGAUCGGAAAAUGAAUGGGCGACCGUUCAUACAACGUGCCGGCAGGUGCCAUC
rnacentral:ncRNA from 2 species